GGGCGUUUCGACAUCCUUGGAUCCCGCACUUCUCCCGCAACUGUGUCCGAUCUGAUCUGUAGUGAAAUUUUGGCAUCCUCCGUGGUCUACUGGAUGGAGCGUCCGGUGGGAGAUCGGAAGCUAUUUGAACAGCAGACAUGAAGUUCGCCGUAUUUCUCCUUGUCUUGGCAUGUGUUUGCGCUGUCGCCCUAAGCGAUCCUGGUAAAAAGAAGUGC